GCCUCAGACAUCAGCAAAACUUAACUUACAGUACUUCUUUUUCCACCAUACUUCAUAUUAAUUAUCAUAUAUUCUGUGUAUGGUAUUAUUACUACGUUAUUUAUUUAUUUAUGUAUGUCAUUUUCACCUAGCACCCAUAUUAUUAUAUUCUGCAAUGCGAUUUACAGAUUUUGUUCACUGCACUUUGUUUCAAGUCAUUAAAUCCUUCUGAUUGGUUUAUUUUUAUCACAUGAUAUCUAUAAUUGUUUUAAAUACAAUUUUAGACAUAAUUGAAAGCAGCUCAGGUUAAAAAUGGAACUGCAGGCCCUGCAGUUCUGGAGCAGUGCUGAGAGUGCUCUGACCACAAAGCUAUACAGAGUCGAGUGCAUAACAAUGAGGCAAAAAAGCUUCUGGUCAAAUCGGUUGCGAAUCUCACUUCCAUACUUGAUUAGGUUCAGAAUCUGAACCUUUGUGUGUGAUUUGGCUGUUUGUAAAAACAUAUGUCAAACCGUUUUGGAAAAUAUAAAAAAUUUAUAUACAUUAUUAAUUAAUUAAAAUCAUUGCUAAAUUGAGCAGUUCAAUGUUUGUUUAUUUUACACAGCCAAUUGCAUAGGAGGUUCAGUUCCUGAACCUAAUCAUAUAUGGAAGUGAGAUUCACAAACGGUUUGAGGCUCUUUCACCAAAUUGUUAUUUCGCCUUACCAUUAUUUUCCCUUGCCAUUCUUCAAGAGCCUCUCAAACCAGGGUAUGAGCAACCCAAGUUUGAGCCACAAGUUGAAUUGCUUACAUAUCGAGUCACAAGUCAAGUUAUUUCAUUGUAUGAUCAAGUUGGGUCUUGUCAAUUGCUACAAUCAAGUUGAGUCAAAUCUAAUAGGCUCCACUCAAGUUGAGUCACUACCUGAACUUGAAUUGAGUCAGGGGAUUUGAUCAAGUCCAGCACCACACUUCAGGUACCCUGCUUGCAAUCUGGGAAAAUAGUAAUCAAUCAAAUCCACAGCAAUGUCUAGGCAGGAAGCUGGUCCCAAUAUUGCCGCUCUACUCUGAAAUCAUAUGUUCCAACUGGAACCAGAAAUCAGACAAUUGAUAUCAUGAAGAAUUUUUAUUUUUUCAUUUCAAGUUCCUUUACCCAUUAAGUGUCAGCACUCUCUCCC